UCCUUCCUUCCUUAGAACCGGGCACAGGCAGCUCCCACCCCGGUAACGUCCGAAGGCAGGGACCUCCCCGGCGGAGCAGCAAGCUCGGUCACCCCAUCCGCCGCAAGUCGGUAUCCAAUUUCACGAUGGCGGGGCCUGCGGCAAAUAAGCAUCAUCUACUCCGGAUUUAACGAUACUGACCUGUGUUUGCUGAAGGACUGGUGAGGAGGGUGUCGGGUCGUCUGUAGGGCUGUGCGGCCCGUCGUCCAACAGGUGUCAACACCCACAUUCUUCAUCACCACAGUAAUGGCCGAGGAGGUGCCGUCCUGCAGUGUGCCAAAGUCAACGGUGCACGGGAGCAGCUGGAAUCCCCUCGCUAUGACACUUGGGUCAGUGAGAGAAACAGUCCGACACUUCCUCCUCACGGGCUCUUCCACUGACAGGAACUGGAAUAGAGUGACGUGUGAACGGAAGGCCUGAGCUCCGUCUGACGUGGGGAUCGGAGGGAGAUCCAAGGACAAACUCCUCAUGUCUGGUGUUUGGGGCUGCAGCAGAUCCUGGAAAACAAGCAGCAGUGCUGUGACUCUUGCUGUGCGUUGUGUCUUAUAUAAAGGUCCAUGUAAAGUCAGAAAUGGUGAAUCAAUAUGUGUUUAGAUUUAAGAAAAUAUAUAAAAACAUAUGUAUUGAAGUCACACAUACAGUACCUGGGAUAAUGGGAUAUUUUCUGGGUGGAAAAAAGGGACAGCGCUCUUCUUCCUCAGAGCCGCUCUGUAAGCCUGCUCCUCACACUUCUCCUGUCUGAUGCACACAGAGGAAGUUACUGAUGAGUUGAUGGCUACUAGUGCAAAUACAAUUUACUUGCAGCCAUGGUGGUACCAUCAUUUCCCACAUGUUGCACUUUAACUAUCCUCCACCCUUCUUUUAGUUGUACUGCUGUAGAUGCUUGUAGUUUUGUUACAAAUAAUUGCCUUCAAAGGAGAAUCACUGCUCCUGGCUUAAAGCCAUUUCCACAAUUUGUUCCAAUGUGACUGACAAAUGAGUAGUGUGACUAUUAGUGUGUAUAAGUGAUACGUCUUAGUGCUAUAAAGAGUAUCUGUAGAACCUUGAACUUGAUGAAGCUACUUAAUGUCAAGGUAGUCGUAAAUUCUUCACAUAGAAUCAUAAAAUAGAGCGAGAAAGAAGCCUUUAUUAACCUGUGCUGUGCAAGUCUUUCAGUCCAUUUUGACUCCUUUCCAUUAGUAAAACUAGAUAGAAGGGGUUAAGAAGAUUUUAAUACAUACAGAGUUAAAUACCUGGAACAGUCACUUUAGAAAGCAUCACAUCAUCUAUCCAUGCAUGUCAGUUUAAUGUCUCCUACCUGUCACUAGCUACUGUGACUGUGUCUUCUGAAACAUCCAACUGCUCGACUGGGGCUCCGACUCCUUGGCUGUACAGAUUGGCCAUGUCCGCUGUGGAUACACACGCAACAUAUUAGUGUGUGUACAUUUGCUCUGAGCCCUUAACAACAAAAACAAACAACAAAAUGACAUGUACUACCGGUACUGUGUUUAACUCAAACUCCAUCAAUAAUCAUCUUGUGAACAUCAACUGUCAUCUUCACUUCAAUUAAACAGUUAGU